AUGAACGCUAGCGGGAGGCCUAACACAUGCAAGCCGAGCGGUAUUUCUUCUUCGGAAGAGAGAGAGCGGCGUACGGGUGCGUAACACGUGUGCAACCUGCCUUUAUCGGGGGGAUAGCCUUUCGAAAGGAAGAUUAAUACCCCAUAAUAUAAUGACUGGCAUCAGUUACUAUUGAAAACUCCGGUGGAUAGAGAUGGGCACGCGCAAGAUUAGAUAGUUGGUGAGGUAACGGCUCACCAAGUCAAUGAUCUUUAGGGGGCCUGAGAGGGUGAUCCCCCACACUGGUACUGAGACACGGACCAGACUCCUACGGGAGGCAGCAGUGAGGAAUAUUGGACAAUGGGUGAGAGCCUGAUCCAGCCAUCCCGCGUGAAGGACGACGGCCCUAUGGGUUGUAAACUUCUUUUGUACAGGGAUAAACCUACCCUCGUGAGGGUAGCUGAAGGUACUGUACGAAUAAGCACCGGCUAACUCCGUGCCAGCCGCCGCCGUAA
rnacentral:rRNA from 1 species